rnacentral:rRNA from 1 species
GGUAAUNUCUAGAGCUAAUACAUGCUAAAAANCCUCGACUUCNNGGGAGGGGUGUAUUUAUUAGAUAAAAAACCAAUGCCCUUCGGGGCUUCUNUGGUGAUUCAUAAUAACUUAACGAAUCGCAUGGCCUUGCGCCGGCGAUGGUUCAUUCAAAUUUCUGCCCUAUCAACUUUCGAUGGUUAGGUAGUGGCUAACCAUGGUUUCGACGGGUAACGGGGAAUUAGGGUUCUAUUCCGGAGAGGGAGCCUGAGAAACGGCUACCACAUCCAAGGAAGGCAGCAGGCGCGCAAAUUACCCAAUCCCGACACNGGGGAGGUAGUAAGUUAACCUAUCUCUCGAGCGCNUCUUUUGGGUCUUGCAAUUGGAAUGAGUACAAUUUAAAUCCCUUAACGAGGAACAAUUGGAGGGCAAGUCUGGUGCCAGCAGNCGCGGUAAUUCCAGNUCCAAUAGCGUAUAUUAAAGUUGUUGCAGUUAAAAAGCUCGUAGUUGAAACUUGGGCCUGGNUGUCCGGUCCGCCUCACCGCGUGCACUGGCUCGGCNCGGGCCNUUUCCUUCUGGGGAGCCNGCAUGCCCUUUAUUGGGUGUGUCGGGGAANCAGGACUUUUACUUUGAAAAAAUUAGAGUGUUCAAAGCAGGCCUAUGCUCGAAUACAUUAGCAUGGAAUAAUAGAAUAGGACGCNGUGGUUCUAUUUUGUUGGUUUCUAGGACCGCCGUAAUGAUUAAUAGGGAUAGUCGGGGGCAUCAGUAUUCAAUUGUCNAGAGGUGAAAUUCUUGGAUUUAUUGAAGACUAACUACUGCGAAAGCAUUUGCCAAGGAUGUUUUCAUUAAUCAGGGAACGAAAGUUAGGGGAUCGAAGACGAUCAGAUACCGUCGUAGUCUUAACCAUAAACUAUGCCGACUAGGGAUCGGNCGGUGUUAUUAUUUUNGANCCGUUCGGNACCUUACG